GCAUUGAUCCUUAUGAAGUAUUCCAAGAUGCAGAAUGGGCCCUUUUGAUAGGAGCAAAGCCUCGAGGGCCGGGAAUGGAACGUGCUGGUUUAUUAGAUAUAAAUGGGCAGAUAUUUGCUGAACAAGGCAAAGCUCUAAAUGCUGUGGCAUCCCCAAACGUCAAAGUCAUAGUUGUGGGCAAUCCCUGCAAUACCAAUGCAUUAAUUUGUUUGAAAAAUGCUCCGAGAAUUCCCGCAAAGAACUUCCACGCUUUAACUCGAUUAGACGAGAAUA
rnacentral:misc_RNA from 1 species